GGGGUCGAUUUUGGUUUCGACUGCGUUUAUUGAGCCAGGGGAAGCGUGCCGGUGCAGGCUAGAGACCACCGUAAGCGUCGUAGCAAAAUGAUAAGCGCCGAGAAUACUCAGCGCGACUACGCUCUCGCUGCCUAAACAGCGACUAGCGUGUCUGUCGGCCCAGGUUUGCCUCUGACCUGGUAGCCGGCACCGACUAAGAGGCUUGCUCAUCCGCUGCGUUGGCAGGGCGGAUGGGGACGUUUACUGGCAACUGGGCUCAUCAUCCGGACGUGUUCGACCGAGCCGGAGAGCCGAGCAGAGAUGAUGCGCGAACUGCGCACGGAGAAGCCCUGGCGAGGUGACGUAGGACCCGGGUUCAAUUCCCGGCGGCUCCACAA
rnacentral:tmRNA from 2 species